rnacentral:rRNA from 1 species
AGUGAACGCUGGCGGUAGGCCUAACACAUGCAAGUCGAACGGCAGCACAGUAAGAGCUUGCUCUUACGGGUGGCGAGUGGCGGACGGGUGAGGAAUACAUCGGAAUCUACUUUUUCGUGGGGGAUAACGUAGGGAAACUUACGCUAAUACCGCAUACGACCUACGGGUGAAAGCAGGGGAUCUUCGGACCUUGCGCGAUUGAAUGAGCCGAUGUCGGAUUAGCUAGUUGGCGGGGUAAAGGCCCACCAAGGCGACGAUCCGUAGCUGGUCUGAGAGGAUGAACCGGCAAAAUGGAACUGAGGCACGGGCCAGAAUCCUAAGGGAGGGAGCAGUGGGGAAUAUUGGAACAAGGGCGGAAGGCUGAUCCAGCCAUAACGCGUGGGUGAAGGAGGCCUUCGGGUUGUAAAGCCCUUUUGUUGGGAAAGAAAAGCAGGAGGGUAAAACCCCGCUGUUCUGACGGUAACCAAAGAAUAAGCAACGGCUAAAUUCGUG